rnacentral:rRNA from 1 species
UGGGGAAUAUUGGACAAUGGACCAAAAGUCUGAUCCAGCAAUUCUGUGUGCACGAUGAAGGUCUUCGGAUUGUAAAGUGCUUUCAGUUGGGAAGAAGCAAGUGACGGUACCAACAGAAGAAGCGACGGCUAAAUACGUGCCAGCAGCCGCGGUAAUACGUAUGUCGCAAGCGUUAUCCGGAUUUAUUGGGCGUAAAGCGCGUCUAGGCGGAAAAAUAAGUCUGAUGUUAAAAUGCGGGGCUCAACUCCGUAUUGCGUUGGAAACUGUUUUUCUAGAGUACUGGAGAGGUGGGCGGAACUACAAGUGUAGAGGUGAAAUUCGUAGAUAUUUGUAGGAAUGCCGAUGGAGAAGUCAGCUCACUGGACAGAUACUGACGCUGAAGCGCGAAAGCGUGGGGAGCAAACAGG